GGACCGGUAGCUCAGUUGGAUAGAGUACUUGACUACGAAUCAAGGGGUCAGGGGUUCGAAUCCUCUCCGGUCCGCCA
rnacentral:tRNA from 1 species